UUUGGUGAAACUCGUAGAAACUCCCCAAACACCACAGGUUGGAGAUACAGGCAAGAAUGAGCUAUGUCAAUAUGGAAAGGCAUUCCAAAGUUAUUUGCAAUUGGCGUUUAUCAUUUGCUCCAUGUUGUUUAUACUCUUUGAAGGAUUCUUGAUAAAGGCGUCCUCUUCUCAUGUGGUGUAUUAGUCCUUUGCAAGCUUUGAAAUCGUGUUAUUCUUUAACCAAGGCCCCAUCACUAAUCACUUGGAGGAAGACCGCAUGUGCAAGUGUUUCUAUAUGUGAAGUCAAGCAAAAAAUGAGAUUUGUUAACAAGAUGUCCACUUCAAGCUAUAGUUUUGUGACUAGGAGAGACUUUUUUCUUGAAAAAGCAGAUGCUGUGGAAUCAGCAAAUAAUCUGUCAAUUGCAGCCAAGAGUUUCAAUGAAUAGGUUUUCAAGAAGACAGUAGUUUCUCAUUUGGAAGAAUUUAGAACACAAAACAGAGGUGUUCAUUAGUGUAAAAUCAUUUAUCUAGGCUGGUUACGUCGGAAAGUUCAUAUGUAGGCAUUUUGCAAUCGCUUUGGUCGUAUUAUCUCAAACUUGAUUUAUUCAAGCAUGAAUCUAAAAGCAAAAGAGCCUUACCAAAAUAAAAAAUAAAAAAAUCUAAAAGCAGAAGAGACACAGCCGUGUACAUUUUCAUACCUAAAACCAAGUAGAGAGAUUAGUUCGUUCUUGAAGAGCAGCAUUACUUUUCCCCUUCCAGAUUCUCUUAGGUGGAUGCAUGGAGCUCGCGUCGCUUGGCAAAUUCUUGAUCAAGUACUGGGGUCUAGAGUGGAGCAUUGAGUUGUUUUAUGCAAAUUCUCGAUCAAAGGUUUGUCUUAGUCUCUAGUGUGGAUGGAGUUUAUAUAGGGUAUUUUUCUUGAACGAGAAUCGGUGCAUUUUUGGUUGGUGAUUAAGAAAUGUUAAAGUAGUUUUGGCUAGUCUGUCAUAUAUGAAUGUACACCUUUCUUAAAAUUACUGGUUGUCAAUAUGUUGCCUUGAAAUAUUAUCAAGCAAGGUAAACAGGUGCUGCUUACAUGACAGGUUUGGUUGGUCUAUGUAAUGAUCAAGGCUUACUUUGGGACUUAAAUUCAAUCAGCUGUAUUUAUGACUUUUUGCAUAAGUGGACAAGUUUUUGCCCGUCUGUGAAACAAGCUGGGGCGAGGAGCUCAAGAAUUUGUAAAUUAGUUUACAUCCCAUUUGAUCAUAUUGUUGUCAUGGAAUUAUUUUAUCACAUGACUGAAUUGGGUGUGGCUCACUUGGCUGAGGAACUUCAAAUUCCAUACCUAAGACCAAUUUUUUAGAGAAAGCAUCAGCAACAGCUAAGGUGCCAAAUUUGAAGAGGCUCGUGGGCCAAGCAGAAUGUUCUGAGGAAGUUUUGAUGCUUGUUAAGAUCCAAAACACUUGAUCUGGUCUCAACAGCUUGUACCUGAAUGAUAGUAAAUGUAGUUUUUUUAAAUUGAAUUUGUUGUUUGUAUGCUCGUUAUGUUCUAUCUCUUUGUUAAUCAAAUGAGUAGGUGGGGAUUUUUGUGUAUGUUACCCUGAUGCAGAGUUGUUUGAUGUGGUUGCAUUCUAAGGAUAUCACUUCUGAACUCGAUGAGGCUAUGCAGAGUUAGGUAUGCACCACUAAGCUCCUCCAUUUUUAUCUGUUUAUCCUUUGAAUGUUGUCAUAUAGGUUUCUGAUUUGAUAGGCUCAGUUCUCAUGUUUGCAGUAUUGAAUUAGUGAAGUUGAAAUUGACCUCCUCACAAUCUAUCUCGAAUUGCUGAUUUUGUUAAUUGGAUGUUGCCAAUGAUCAAGUAACAAGUAUGUCUUUCUGUUAUGUAGUUUAGGCAUUUCACCUUUUCAGUAUAAUUUUAUUAACAUCAAUUUUGUUCCUGAACACAAAAGGGGAAAGUGUUGUCACUAAUUGUUUACUUCUUUUAAGCCUAUUUUUUUUUUUUCAUCUGCUAGUUAAUGAAGUCUCUGUUCACUGUGGUUGAACAGCGAGUGGUGUAAAUGAUGUUUACACAUUUGUACCUUAUCUUUCAUGGGGUAAAUUUUGAUGCUACAAUCUCGCAUUUCUUUAUUUAUUGAUAAUGAGUCAGUCCUAUCCUCAUCAUGUAGAUUCAAGCUGCAUUUCAUGGAACUUGGAGAAAGCCCCCAAACACCACGCAAUGAGGAUGAGGGCAGGAAUGAGCUAUUUCAUUAUGAAAAUGUAUUCUGAACCUAGUGGCGUUUAUCAUGUGCUCCGUGUUGUUAACUCUUCAAAGGAUUCUGGAUAUAAAGCAGCCUCCUAAUGUGGGGUAUUUGUCCUUUGUAACCACAAAUCGCUUGCAGGAAGACCGCACGUGCAGGUGG
rnacentral:lncRNA from 1 species